AGAGUUUGAUCCUGGCUCAGAACGAACGCUGGCGGCAUGCCUAACACAUGCAAGUCGAACGAGACCUUCGGGUCUAGUGGCGCACGGGUGCGUAACGCGUGGGAAUCUGCCCUUGGGUUCGGAAUAACAGUUAGAAAUGACUGCUAAUACCGGAUGAUGACGUAAGUCCAAAGAUUUAUCGCCCAAGGAUGAGCCCGCGUAAGAUUAGCUUGUUGGUGAGGUAAAGGCUCACCAAGGCGACGAUCUUUAGCUGGUCUGAGAGGAUGAUCAGCCACACUGGGACUGAGACACGGCCCAGACUCCUACGGGAGGCAGCAGUGGGGAAUAUUGGACAAUGGGCGAAAGCCUGAUCCAGCAAUGCCGCGUGAGUGAUGAAGGCCUUAGGGUUGUAAAGCUCUUUUACCAGGGAUGAUAAUGACAGUACCUGGAGAAUAAGCUCCGGCUAACUCCGUGCCAGCAGCCGCGGUAAUACGGAGGGAGCUAGCGUUGUUCGGAAUUACUGGGCGUAAAGCGUGCGUAGGCGGUGACUCAAGUCAGAGGUGAAAGCCUGGAGCUCAACUCCAGAACUGCCUUUGAAACUAGGUCGCUAGAAUGUCGGAGAGGUGAGUGGAAUUCCGAGUGUAGAGGUGAAAUUCGUAGAUAUUCGGAAGAACACCAGUGGCGAAGGCGGCUCACUGGACGACUAUUGACGCUGAGGCACGAAAGCGUGGGGAGCAAACAGGAUUAGAUACCCUAGUAGUCC
rnacentral:rRNA from 1 species